rnacentral:rRNA from 1 species
GACGAACGCUGGCGGCGUGCUUAACACAUGCAAGUCGAACGAUGAAGCCGGAGCUUGCUCUGGUGAAUUAGUGGCGAACGGGUGAGUAACACGUGAGUAACCUGCCCUUGACUCUGGGAUAACUGCGGGAAACUGUAGCUAAUACCGGAUACGACCCUCGGAGGCAUCUCCUGGGGGUGGAAAGAAUUUCGGUCAAGGAUGGACUCGCGGCCUACCAGCUAGUUGGUGAGGUAAAGGCCCACCAAGGCGACGACGGGUAGCCGGCCUGAGAGGGUGACCGGCCACACUGGGACUGAGACACGGCCCAGACUCCUACGGGAGGCAGCAGUGGGGAAUAUUGCACAAUGGGCGCAAGCCUGAUGCAGCAACGCCGCGUGAGGGAUGACGGCCUUCGGGUUGUAAACCUCUUUUAGCAGGGAAGAAGCGAAAGUGACGGUACCUGCGGAAAAAGCACCGGCUAACUACGUGCCAGCCGCCGCCGUAA